AGAGCGAACGCUGGCGGCAGGCUUAACACAUGCAAGUCGAGCGGGCGUAGCAAUACGUCAGCGGCAGACGGGUGAGUAACGCGUGGGAACGUACCUUUUGGUUCGGAACAACACAGGGAAACUUGUGCUAAUACCGGAUAAGCCCUUACGGGGAAAGAUUUAUCGCCAAAAGAUCGGCCCGCGUCUGAUUAGCUAGUUGGUGAGGUAACGGCUCACCAAGGCGACGAUCAGUAGCUGGUCUGAGAGGAUGAUCAGCCACAUUGGGACUGAGACACGGCCCAAACUCCUACGGGAGGCAGCAGUGGGGAAUAUUGGACAAUGGGCGCAAGCCUGAUCCAGCCAUGCCGCGUGAGUGAUGAAGGCCCUAGGGUUGUAAAGCUCUUUAGUUGGGGAAGAAGGAUAGUAGUUUAAGAGAUGACUAUUUGACGGUACCCAAAGAAUAAGCACCGGCUAACUCUGCGCAGCAGCCGC
rnacentral:rRNA from 1 species